CACCACUGUCACCAGAUAGCUUUAGUGUCUGUACUCAAGGCGUGUGGGAAACAGCGACGGGGAAAGAGAAUGCUUUAAUAUAAAACCCCUUGCCUUAGGCACACAUGCCCACACUUUAUUUCUGAAGCCAGACUCCAACUCAUCUUUCAAAGCCAAUUUCAUGCCGCACCUGCUCCACGGUGCCUUUCCCCGCUCUGAGAGAAGGAUCGUUGCUUAGAGGGCUACAGGCGCUGAUGGUGGGCUGCUCUCUAACUAUACUAGCUGGGUGAGCUCAGAAAUAAGGAAGAGGGCGUGACCAAAGCGAGGGACCCUCUGUACUUCUCGCAUGUGUUUCCUUGAGGAAAGCCAAGAUUCCUGGCCAGGGCAACCUGCUUGCGAUCCCAGAGUUGACAUUGGGUCCGUUCCACAGCCCUAACUGACCUCACUCCUCCCUGAUGGGCUUUGAGCAAAGAUUUCUAAAUCAGAUAGUGUCCGUUUUUUCAUGGACACAGAAGACAAGCACCUGUGAUCCAAUCCUGUGAGCCAAAACAGGAGGUCUGUACCCAUGUGUCUCUGAAUGCCCUUGUGACUGCACAGAAGGGCUGCUGAAGGAAUGUGACCUGUGCAUACACUGGCUUGUUGUCCCCUGCCUCGGGAUGUUUCUGGAGCAUCUGCUCUGUCAGCUGCUGUGGUACUAGCAGAACUGGACAGCAUGAGAUGAGAACUGAGGAAAACUCAGAAGAAAAGGGAUUCCAAGUCAUUGGCAAGUCAUUCCAAGGACUGGAGAGAUGACUCAGAUGGUUAAGAGUACUGUUGCUCUUGAAGUGGACCAGGGUUGGGUUCCCAGCACCCACGUGGUGGUUCACAGCCAUUCAGAACUUCAGUUCCAGGGGUUCUGAUGACUUCUUCUGACUUCCAUGGGCUCCAGGCACGUACAUGGUACACAUAUGUUCAUGCAGGAAAAACACUCAUGCACUUAAACUUGAAAACAAUAAUAAAAUAACCAAGACUUUCCAGCUGAUGGUUCCUCUACCUAGAAACGGCCAACCUUCAUUUCUUUCUCCAGCAAGGAGGACUUCACAACAGCUUAAGAACAAGGUGGGGAGGGAUCAGUAGCCAUAGUUUGAAAAACUACCCCCUCAAACACACACCUUUGUGCCAGAUAGAUUCACUACACAAGCAUUUACAAAUGUGACUCUGCCUUGGGCAUCAAGAAAUGGGCACAACAGCAUCCCCAGGUGUCACUGAAGUUCUCCCAAAUCCUG
rnacentral:lncRNA from 1 species